AAAACUGUGCACACAGCCGGUAUCCUGUCACUUUGCCGUUGACGGUUGCACGGAACACACUGAACAUCUUUGGGUAGUAUUUGGGGUAGACAUUUCUAAACCAUCAAAAUGUGUGACGAUGAUGUAGCCGCUUUGGUUGUAGACAAUGGAUCCGGCAUGUGCAAGGCCGGUUUCGCUGGAGACGAUGCUCCUCGUGCCGUCUUCCCCUCCAUCGUCGGAAGACCCCGUCAUCAGGGAGUGAUGGUCGGUAUGGGACAGAAGGACAGCUAUGUCGGUGAUGAGGCCCAGAGCAAGAGGGGUAUUCUAACCCUCAAGUACCCCAUCGAACACGGUAUCGUCACAAACUGGGACGAUAUGGAGAAGAUUUGGCAUCACACCUUCUACAACGAGCUCCGUGUAGCUCCCGAGGAGCACCCUGUCCUCCUGACAGAGGCCCCACUUAACCCCAAGGCCAACAGGGAAAAGAUGACACAGAUCAUGUUCGAGACCUUCAACUCUCCCGCCAUGUACGUCGCCAUCCAGGCUGUGUUGUCCCUAUACGCCUCUGGUCGUACCACCGGAAUCGUGUUCGAUGCUGGCGAUGGUGUGUCCCACACAGUCCCAAUCUACGAAGGUUAUGCCCUUCCCCACGCCAUCCUCCGUUUGGAUCUCGCUGGUCGUGAUCUAACAGACUAUCUGAUGAAAAUCCUUACCGAGCGUGGUUACUCAUUCACAACCACAGCCGAGAGAGAAAUCGUAAGAGACAUUAAGGAAAAAUUAUCUUAUGUAGCACUUGACUUUGAACAAGAAAUGCAGACAGCUGCUUCCUCCUCAUCACUGGAGAAGAGCUACGAACUUCCCGACGGUCAGGUGAUCACCAUUGGAAACGAGAGGUUCAGGUGCCCCGAGGCUCUGUUCCAGCCCUCAUUCUUGGGAAUGGAAUCUGCUGGUAUUCACGAAACCACAUACAACAGUAUCAUGAAGUGUGACGUAGAUAUCCGUAAAGACUUGUAUGCCAACACUGUACUGUCAGGUGGCAGCACAAUGUUCCCCGGUAUUGCCGACCGUCUGCAGAAGGAAAUCACUGCCCUCGCUCCACCAACCAUGAAAAUCAAGAUCAUUGCUCCACCAGAGAGGAAAUACUCCGUCUGGAUCGGAGGCUCCAUCUUGGCUUCUCUGUCCACCUUCCAACAGAUGUGGAUCAGCAAGCAGGAAUAUGACGAGUCCGGCCCAUCCAUUGUCCACAGGAAAUGCUUCUAAACGCUUCAUAAUCCAAGAGUACGACAAAGUCUACACAAUACGAAAACUAUGAUCUGAAGGACUUUUUGCGCACCGGGUUUGCGCAUUGUGUCCCAAGUUUUGUUAAACGAUUCCACCAGGUUUCAGCAAUCGGGAGAUGCUAUGCAAUAUAACAAACUAACCUCGCGAUGUUCAGUUAAGUUGCAGUUCCUCUUAGAAAAAGAGGUGCCCGUGUCUUAAGAUGGCAAUACGGUCCGAACACAUCGUCUGCGCUAUACUACCCCAAUCUUGUUAUUCAUUAUCACAUUGACAAUGUGAAUAAAGUUCAUGUAUGUAUAUUGUAAUAAUAAAUUUUUUAUUUUGUAUACAA